CAGAAAGGACUUUUUUGUUGUUGUUGGUUUUGGUUUUUGGUUUUGGUAUUGUUGUACUUUUAUUUUUUAGCACUGCUUCAGUCGCCCAGUCGGGGGGAAUCUUUUUGUGAAGCAACAGCAGACCUGCCAACUCUCUAUUUGGAAUCUUUAUUAAAGUAUCAAGCUGAAGAAAAGCCCAGGAAUUUCAUGCCACUCAUGCCAAAUAUACCCAUUGCUAUUUCAUGGGAUUUCCAGUAACACUGCCUGCCGUGAGCCCUUUCUUCCUGGGGAAGCAGUCUCUCCUUUUCCUGAGUGAAGAAGAUGAAAUGUAACUGUCUCCCCACUCUUCUUCCUUUUUUUUAUUGUUUAUUAAAACUGUGACAUAAAAAUGUCACUCGGAAGGGAAGCCUUCGGUUCAGCAUCCGCG
rnacentral:lncRNA from 1 species